GACAGAGGAUGCAAGCGUUAUCCGGAAUGAUUGGGCGUAAAGCGUCUGUAGGUGGCUUUUCAAGUCCGCCGUCAAAUCCCAGGGCUCAACCCUGGACAGGCGGUGGAAACUACCAAGCUGGAGUACGGUAGGGGCAGAGGGAAUUUCCGGUGGAGCGGUGAAAUGCAUUGAGAUCGGAAAGAACACCAACGGCGAAAGCACUCUGGGACGGUACUGACGCUGAGACGCGAAAGCGUGGGGAGCGAACAGG
rnacentral:rRNA from 1 species